ensembl:misc_RNA Metazoa_SRP Metazoan signal recognition particle RNA
GCUGGGCAUGGUGGCCCAUGCCUGUAAUCCCAGCUACUCGGGAGGCUGAGGCAGGAAAAUUGCUCGAACCCAGGAGGCGGAGGUUGCAGUGAGCCGAGAUUGCGCCACUGCACUCCAGCCUGGGUGGCAGAGUAAGAUCCUGUUUCAA